GGACAUCCCUUCCCAAUCCCCUCCAUGGGAAAGGACACGAAUAAUGCCUAAGAGCUUGGAGCCUUAGAGAUCAUCACCUUUACCCUCCCCUUCCCCUACCCCUACCCCAGAGGGAAGACGACUGUAGGGAAGGAAGUGCAAGGCCAGAAUUGGCCAACAUAAGCGCUGAACUGGGCCUGCGUUGGGGGGAAUUCUUUCUCACCCAGGAUGGGGGUCUUUGGAGGUGCUGAGACCACUUAGGGGGCUGAGCAGCUCACAGGUUUGCCAGGGAUGGGUCCCUUGAGGGACGGCCGAGGACAGAGGGAGAGUGGGUGCCAGGGUAAGACAAGGGGAAUGGGACAGUGACAAACACACAGAAAGACUCGUGGCCUGGCCUUUCAGAGAUCAUUCAGAGAUCUUUGCGUUUGGAGACAUUUGGAGUGUGUCCUGAGGCCUUGGCGGCAUCUGUGUUUUCUCUGACUUUCUCUUUACUGACCCUUCAACUUUAUCCCCCUGAGGUCUGCAGCUUGACUGAGGCUGCCUUCUUCCAAGGGUGGAGGGGAGCCAAGGGAGAGGAGCCCAUGAGGUCCUGGUGGUGCAGCUCUUUGGGAUAAGGGCAGGUAGAGGCCAUACUUCUGAGUGACGGGCUCCACCACCUCCUGCUUUACAAUGGAAACAGCUUGGCAAGUGGGCACAUCUGGGAUGGCCCAGGACCCUUCCAAUAAGGAGGAGAGUGGGCUCAUUGCCAUCUUAGCCCUUCCCCUUGCAGCUCUCUGAGCAGGGAUAUGGCCGCAUUCUGGGCAGCUGCCCCAAGCUUUCAAUUCAGCUCACUCGUGACUUUGAUGCCCCUGUGAAAGCUUUUGGCUGUCAGAGCUCAUAGACCAUCUGCUUGGAUUGCCCUGGUCGCCUCCCUCAGGGCACACAGCCUGGCAAUAAUGUGUCCUGUUUGGCAGCUCGUGUGACAUCUCUUCUUGUAUCGUAUCAGGUGACUCAGAUAAUGAUCGUGCCUGUUGACACUUAGAGUUCUCAAAGGGAAUUCUGAGCAGCAGUGGAAAGAUGAAACGAACCCAAGGGUGCUUGCACCAAACACUGCCUGAACAGCUGGCACUUAAGCCCGUUGCUGAAAAUAACAAUCAGACAGCUUCUGGGCAAGCAUCGAACGGGGGAUUGAAUUCUAUCUGGCAAAUAGGAAACUCAGAGUGAGGAGUCUGGGUUCUAGAUAAAUAAAUGUUAUAAU
ensembl:lncRNA